ACAUACCUCUCACACACACACACACACACAUCUCACACACACAUCUCACACACAUACCUCUCACACACACACACAACUCCAUCACCUCCGAUUCAGAUCUCCCUCUCCGUGACCUGUUACAGAAAUCUGAAAGAAAAAGGGAUUUAUUUUUCCCUAAAUCGACUUAAAAUGAUUUUAUAGUUGCUCUAAAUGAACGAGACACGUACCGCCUGUGAUCAGGUGGUAUAAGAAACAUCCUAUGGAUUUGAUCAGACGUACAAUCCUAGCUUUCUAAUUGAACAUGUGACCAUUCAUUCCAAAGCCUGUCCCGUUAAAGUCUCAGAAAGCUCGACGUUAAUUGUUUAUUCUUUUCUAUAAGAAACAUCCAAGUUUCCUUCUUGAGCUGUGACUUUAAACGGUGGGUUAGUUAAACAGUAAAAGAACCCAUUUUAUAGUUUUAAUGUCAAAUUCAUAUUUCGUCCCUUCAGAAAAGUCUCCGAAAGCUCGACGUUAAAAUCAACUUUAUUUUUUAUAUUUUAUUCUAAUAUCAAUUUGGAGCGAAAUCACAUUAGUGACGAAUUUACAUAGAAAUGAAUUCCUGUUCCUGUGACUCACGACUCAGCGACCGGAAACAGAAUGUUUGAUAAAAGAUCAGAUUCAAGUCCGUAGUUUUAUUUAUUGUUUCCACCGUUUUUGUUUGUUUUAAUUUGAAUGUAAAUCAGAUCGUUCUCGUCAAAAUUAAGUUAGAAUCUUUUUUUUUUUUGUUAUACGUCCUCCCCGUCAUCCUCAGUCAGAAACCAUCGCUCUGAACAACGGGUUUCCGGACAAUCUUAUUUAUUACUUUUUCUCCUCUUCCUCCUCCUCCUCCUCUUCCUCCUCUUCCUCUUCCUCCUCUUCCUCUUCCUCACCUCAGAUUGCAGUUUUUUGUUGAAGUUGUUUUGAGGCGUAAGAGUAGUCGAUUCUUCCUCCUCCUCUCGUCUGCCGCUGACUUUUUUAAAUCUGUUUUCCCAGCAUGCAUCAGGGCACAAUGACCCUUGUUCUCCAUCAAAGCGCCGUGUCUCCGACCCUCACCUCCUCUCAGUCACAGCAGAGGAGCGUCUGAUCUCUCCACCUGCAGAGAGGCUUUUCAAAAACAACACGUUGACACCUCAAUGUUUCUCUUUCGCUUGUUUUUCAGAAAUGAUUCAAUUCUGGCUGAAAAACCACAAAGUUUGUAUUUUGUUGUUCAGGGAAAAGCCUCCUCUGAGACGUCUCAUCGGUCUGCACACAGGAGGAAGAAUCCAAGUGUUGCACACGUCCCUAAUCCUGCGUUUCCAUUCCCAGGACGCCUGAAGCGGCAAAGUGUUUAUUCCAACAUUACAAUAUAAAUCCUUAUUCCCUCUCCGUGUGAGGACGAUUCCAAUCGCUCUUCAGACUUCAAAGAUAUGAUUCAGCAGAUUAAUUUUGAAUUUUGACUUCACGAAACAAGAGUGAAAUAAUUUGUCCCUUAAAUUUGCCCCAAAAGUCUCAGAACACCCGACGCUAUUCAGUUUGUCUCUUCUCCACAAAACGGAUUUUUAUUUUAUUUGCACCUCUCGUCUAAACUCAGUCGAUUCAUCUGUUUUUCUAAUGAUACGUUUUCCUCCAUCAGGACGGAGAACAGAAAGUCUGUCCUUAGUUUUAUUUAUUUUUUGAAAGAUCCACGGAGGGGUCAGUGUCUCUGAAUUGGAAAAACUCUCAUCCCGUUAACUUGCAUUCAUCCGUUCAUCACACACACACACACACACACACACACACACACACACACACACACACCCACACA